CAAAGCAGUAAUUAUGGACUGUAUAUAGUUCCAUUAAAGGAAGAAAUUUAGUAAAUUUGCUCUUCAUAAAUAUUUGCGUAAUAAAUGAAUGAAUACCCAGAUCAAAGGGAGAAGGUUAACGAGCAGAUGUAAAGACUAGAGGUUCAGGUAUACCGCUGUUGCCUCAGAGGAUGUCAAAUCUAAAUACGAACCAUGAACCCAAGGUUUUGGUUUUUUUUUAAAUUCUCAGAGCAUGUUAUGGUAAUUAGAUGUUUAGCUAAUAAGAUCCAUAUUUGUUCUAGCCUAUUAGGACUAAAUAUAACAACAAUCUUUCCAUUUUGAUGAUACUAUUACUUCUUCCAACACGCUUACAUAUAUCUAUUUUAAUUCCCCCAGUUGUCUGGAGAGUGAAGACAGAAAUUCCCAUCUUACAGAUGGACAAACUGUGGCCUAGAGAAGUUAGAGAUUUAUACCACUGAGGACUGUGGCCACGAGAGGGCAGUAGAGGAAGCUUAUCAGAAUACUUGGACAGGAGUAAACUCGUGUGCGCUCUAAUCGCGAGCAGGGACUACGCAGAUCCUGCGAACUCGCUGGGGUCCAGCUUGCAGGCCGCUUCCGGAAAGCCGUGUCUAGAGGCUGCGGAGUUACUGAGACUGUGUGGCGAGGAAUCAGUGGCCUUGAGGGCACCGAGACAUUGUCAUCCAGAAUCCCGAAACCUCUCACCUUAGGUUAUUAAAAUAAGUUAUCUUAUUGCCACCCCUCUGAUUACCCUGCCAGAAAGAUUCUCUGAAUUGGAUAUAGAAAGCUCUUCUCCCGUCCCCAAUGCCCCCAUGCAAGUCGGGACUUACCAGAUGCCCAGGAUCCCUAUCAGGGCUGGAAGUUUGAGAUUCAAUUCAGAGCAAGGUUCAUCUUCUCAUUGCAAUAAUAAUAAUAACAACAACUUCAAGCCUUAUUUGACAGCUUGUUGGCCUUUUUCUUUUUUUAAUUUACAAGAAGAGGAAAUUUGCUCCCACAAAUUCCAAGACUCUAGUCUCAACCCUACCAGACAAGCCCCGUUCCUCCCCACUCACCCCUCACUCAAAUUACAGAUGAAGAGGGAGGUGUGCAGGAUGUGUGCGGUGACAGGUGAUGCGAAUGGGGGGGAUUCCCUGUCCCUACUGCCCUCACCCACUCUUCC
rnacentral:lncRNA from 1 species